CAUGCUAGAGCACUUUUUCAAUGUGCUCCCCAACGAGAAGGCUACGACGCAUUCACAUGUCAAUCCAUAUGAACUUUCGAUGCUAUUGACUGCGCCUACCAUGGUGACCACAGAUAACGGGGAAUCAGGGUUCGAUUCCAUACAGGGACCCUGACAAAUGGCUACCACAUGCAAGGAAGGCAG